CUAAGCCAUGCGAGUCAUUGUAGCAAUACAAGGCAGACGGCUCAGUAACGCGUAGUCAAUCUACCCUAUGGACGGGAAUAAUCUCGGGAAACUGAGAAUAAUGCCCGAUAGAACAUUAUGCCUGGAAUGGUUUAUGUUUCAAAUGAUUUAUCGCCAUAGGAUGGGACUGCGGCCUAUCAGUUUGUUGGUGAGGUAAUGGCCCACCAAGACUAUUACAGGUACGGGCUCUGAGAGGAGUGGCCCGGAGAUGGGUACUGAGACACGGACCCAGGCCCUAUGGGGCGCAGCAGGCGAGAAAACUUUGCAAUGUGCGAAAGCACGACAAGGUUAAUCCGAGUGGUUUCUGCUAAAGAAACCUUUUGUCAGUCCUAGAAACACUGACGAAUAAGGGGUGGGCAAGUUCUGGUGUCAGCCGCCGCGGUAAAACCAGCACCUCAAGUGGUCAGGAUGAUUAUUGGGCCUAAAGCAUCCGUAGCUCGUUUUGUAAGUUUUCGGUUAAAUCCAUGCGCUUAACGUAUGGGCUGCCGGGAAUACUGCAUAACUAGGAAGUGGGAGAGGUAGACGGUACUCGGUAGGAAGGGGUAAAAUCCUUUGAUCUAUUGAUGACCACCUGUGGCGAAGGCGGUCUACCAGAACACGUUCGACGGUGAGGGAUGAAAGCUGGGGGAGCAAACCGGAUUAGAUACCCGGGUAGUCCCAGCUGUAAACUAUGCAAACUCAGUGAUGCAUUGGCUUGUGGCCAAUGCAGUGCUGCAGGGAAGCCGUUAAGUUUGCCGCCUGGGAAGUACGUACGCAAGUAUGAAACUUAAAGGAAUUGGCGGGGGAGCACCACAAGGGGUGAAGCCUGCGGUUCAAUUGGAGUCAACGCCAGAAAUCUUACCCGGAGAGACAGCAGAAUGAAGGUCAAGCUGAAGACUUUACCAGACAAGCUGAGAGGAGGUGCAUGGCCACGCCUCACAUUUC
rnacentral:rRNA from 1 species